GACGAACGCUGGCGGCGUGCUUAACACAUGCAAGUCGAACGGUGAACCUCUUCGGAGGGGGUCAGUGGCGAACGGGUGAGUAACACGUGGGCAACCUUCCCCCGGCUCUGGGAUAACUCCAAGAAAUUGGGGCUAAUACCGGAUGUUCACCGCUUCCCGCAUGGGUGGUGGUGGAAAGGGUUGCCGGCUGGGUAGGGGCCCGCGGCCUAUCAGCUUGUUGGUGGGGUAGGGGCCUACCAAGGCGACGACGGGUAGCCGGCCUGAGAGGGUGACCGGCCACAGGGGGACGGAGAGAGGGGCCGGACGCCUACGGGGGGCAGCAGGGGGGAAGAGGGCGCAAUGGGCGGAAGCCUGAGGCAGCAACGCCGCGGGCGGGAUGACGGCCGUCGGGUUGGAAACCGGUUUCGCCGGUGACGAAGCGGGAGGGACGGUAAGGGGGAAAGGAGCACCGGCUAAGUAGGUG
rnacentral:rRNA from 1 species